AUGCCUGUGCAAGGAUUUUGUUGGUUUCUGUGCUGCAGGCAGGGUUUCAAUUUGCUCGGACGGGACUAUGGGGAGAAAGAGGAGGAAGAAUCGUUUGAGUUGCGCAACAAGGAGGAUCUGACUCGCAACGGACGUGGUCCACUUGAGGUGACUCUCUCUCAGCCGACUCGCACAGCCAAUGGGACAAACGGACACAGUCUGUCAGAGGUUCCUGAUGAGAUGAAGAGUCUGAUCAUAGAGAAGAGCAAGAUGGGCCUUGAAGACGACCCCGAGCUGCUGGUCAAAGGUGAGCCUGCUUGGCUGACAUACCCCUACACCAUCCCUCUAUUCUCUCGCUCUCUCUCUGCUUUCUCUCUGUGUGGCUGUUGUGUCCCAGCUCCAGUGAUUUGCAUGUACAGUAAUAACAGUCUGUGGGAUGAUGACGUUCACUCGUCCGAGAGCGUUAGCCGAGCUUGAGCUCCGUGCAUGUUUGCGAUGUUAUCACUGAAUAAGUAGGCCAUACUGUACUACUGUACUGUACACUUCACGGUCCACGGCUAAGCCCUCACACACACACACACACACACACACACACACACACACACACAACACCCUUCCCCCAGUAAUCAUGUAAUGAUGGCCAUCAGCGGCAUUAAGAGCCUUGCGAGCCUGACGCUUUUUGAGGAGUGAUCUCACAGGCUAUUCAUGUGUGCUUUUCCUGCUACCGAAACGGUUGCAGUAAAAUGCCAGUGCUUGGAUAAGUUACGUCCUCUUUGGGAUGGCGGCAGCCUGAUCGGCUAAUUCGGACAGCAGUUACCAUGCAGCACCCCUGGCCGACGGGCUGGCUGCACCCCUCCUCCCUCUGUUCCGAUGUCUGAGACCGGGCAGAGGGGCAGGCGAUGGGAUUAGGGGGGUGCAUUCCUUCCCAAUCGGAGGACGGAUACUUCCCCUGGGCCCCUGGGGUGGCUGUGUGCCUUGUCUUCCCCACCAACCACCACCAUCUCCAGCACCACUGACGCUCCAGGACAUGUGAAGGCCUUGCUCUGUUCAUGCCCUUGUUGUGUGCAGGGAUAUAUUUUCAAAUGUCCCUAGCUGUUUGGCGUGGUGUUCAAUGGGACAUCCUCAGGCAACUGGGGCCAAGGGUCGCCUCGCUGUCUAAAAUAGGCCAUCAACCGUGCCGAGACAGACAGAGAGGAAAAGAGAUAUAGAGAGAGAGAUUGACGUAGCGAAGGAGUGAGAAACUCCUAGACAGAAUGCAGUAACGAGCAUAAAUUACAUUCCUCUGUUUGUUCAUGCGCGGGAAAACUGAACAAUUUUAGCUACAUACCACUUAAGAGUGGCCAGUACUCCAGUCAUUUGGAAAGGGAUUCAGUCUACUCAAUUGCAAUCGUUUCCCUUUCUGUUUGGAUCUCUGUCUAAUUCAGUUCAGCCCAUAAUCCUAAUGGUGAAGCUCAUUAACGCUCUGCGCCGUUAUGGAUGACGGUUUGUUAUCAGAUGCUUUUUAAUCUCCCCCAAAUCUCCAGAACAAACAGAAUGUACACACAGAGAUAGAAGGACAGAGCAGAACCAGAGGGAGACAGACUCCAGUGUUUGCUCAAUUUGUGUUUCAGGGGGCAGGGCCAGCAUUAGGGGUCUGGGGUCACAAAUGAAACAAAUUAAGGGCGAGCCGUGUUCCCCGGGGGACGCAUUAGCAGGCCAGGGAGAUGGGAUCCAGAUGGAGGACCGCGGGGGGAGGGGAAGGGUAGGCAGGGGGUCCUGACCGGGACUCUUGUUUCUCCCUUUCUCUCUCAAUGUCUCUCUCUCUCCCCCUCACUGCCUUUCCUUCUCUUUCUCUACUUUUCUCUCUCCCUCUCUUCCGCUCACUCUCUCUCUCUCUCUUUCUUUCUUUCUCUCUCUCCUUCUUCUCUCCCUCCGAAGUCGGCCGUCUCUCUAUCUCACUGUCUCAAAAAGAGCAGCUGCAGGACAUCCUGUGUGACUGACAGAGGACAUGCCUCCCAGGUCUCCGCU
rnacentral:lncRNA from 13 species